GGGACCGCACAAGCAGCGGAGCAUGUUGCUUAAUUCGAGGCAACGCGAAGAACCUUACCUGGGUUUGACAUGCUGGGAAAAGCCACAGAGAUGUGGUGUCCUUCGGGGCCCAGCACAGGUGGUGCAUGGCUGUCGUCAGCUCGUGUCGUGAGAUGUUGGGUUAAGUCCCGCAACGAGCGCAACCCUUGUCCUAUGUUGCCAGCGGGUAAUGCCGGGGACUCGUAGGAGACUGCCGGGGUCAACUCGGAGGAAGGUGGGGACGACGUCAAGUCAUCAUGCCCCUUAUAUCCAGGGCUGCAAACAUGCUACAAUGGCUGGUACAAAGGGCUGCUAUCCCGCGAGGGUGAGCGAAUCCCAAAAAGCCAGUCUCAGUUCGGAUUGGAGUCUGCAACUCGACUCCAUGAAGCCGGAGUUGCUAGUAAUCCCGGAUCAGCAUUGCCGGGGUGAAUACGUUCCCGGUCCUU
rnacentral:rRNA from 1 species